rnacentral:rRNA from 1 species
UUGAACGCUGGCGGCAGGCCUAACACAUGCAAGUCGAGCGGAUGAAGGGAGCUUGCUCCUGGAUUCAGCGGCGGACGGGUGAGUAAUGCCUAGGAAUCUGCCUGGUAGUGGGGGAUAACGUCCGGAAACGGGCGCUAAUACCGCAUACGUCCUGAGGGAGAAAGUGGGGGAUCUUCGGACCUCACGCUAUCAGAUGAGCCUAGGUCGGAUUAGCUAGUUGGUGGGGUAAAGGCCUACCAAGGCGACGAUCCGUAACUGGUCUGAGAGGAUGAUCAGGCACACUGGAACUGAGACACGGUCCAGACUCCUACGGGAGGCAGCAGUGGGGAAUAUUGGACAAUGGGCGAAAGCCUGAUCCAGCCAUGCCGCGUGUGUGAAGAAGGUCUUCGGAUUGUAAAGCACUUUAAGUUGGGAGGAAGGGCAGUAAGUUAAUACCUUGCUGUUUUGACGUUACCAACAGAAUAAGCACCGGCUAACUUCGUG